GGCCCAUUAGCUCAAUUGGUUAGAGCGUCGUGCUAAUAAUGAGGAGGUCGAGGGUUCGAAUCCCUCAUAGGACA
rfam:Danaus plexippus plexippus isolate F-2 unplaced genomic scaffold DPSCF300131, whole genome shotgun sequence.